rnacentral:rRNA from 1 species
AGCCUGAACGCUGUCGGCGUGAUUAAGACAUGCAAGUCGUACGGUGUAGCAAUACACAGUGGCGCACGGGUGAGUAAUGCAUCGCUAAUGUACCCUGGGGUCUGGGAUAGCCAGUCGAAAGAUUGGGUAAUACCAGAUGAGACCACGAGUAGGCAUCUACUAGUGCUCAAAGGGCAACUGCCCUGGGAUCAGGCGAUGUGGUAUCAGGUAGUUGGUAGGGUAACGGCCUACCAAGCCUUCGACGCCUAGCCGGACUGAGAGGUCGGUCGGCCACAUCGGGACUGAGACACUGCCCGGACUCCUACGGGGGGCUGCAGUAAUGAAUCUUCCGCAAUGCACGAAAGUGUGACGGAGCGACGCCGAGUGAAGGAUGAAGUCUCUCGGGAUGUAAACUUCUAAAACCUGCUAGAAGUUCUGAUCGGCAGGCUAUAAGUGGCGACUAACUCUGUGCCAGCAGCCGC